rnacentral:misc_RNA from 1 species
CUGAGUGUUAAAACUCCCAAACCCUUUGUGAACCUUACCAGUCGUUGCUUCGGCGGGAUCGCCCCGGCGCCACACCAGGCACCGGAUCACACGUGCGCCCGCCGGGGGAAACAAACUCUUGCUUUUUAGUGUAUUCUCUCUGAGUGGCACAAGCAAAUAAAUUA